UGAUAGAGAGUGUAAACAUCCUACACUCUCAGCUGUGUGGAAAAGAUGAAAGCUGGGAGAAGGCUGUUUACUCUCUUUG
ensembl:miRNA MIR30C2 microRNA 30c-2